GAUGAACGCUAGCUACAGGCUUAACACAUGCAAGUCGAGGGGCAGCGCAGUGUAGCAAUACAUGGGCGGCGACCGGCGCACGGGUGCGUAACGCGUAUCCAACCUUCCCGUUACUCAGGGAUAGCCUUCCGAAAGGGAGAUUAAUACCUGAUGGUGUUCAAAUUCCGCAUGUUAUUUGAACUAAAGAUUUAUCGGUAACGGAUGGGGAUGCGUGACAUUAGGUAGAUGGCGGGGUAACGGCCCACCAUGCCUACGAUGUCUAGGGGUUCUGAGAGGAAGGUCCCCCACACUGGAACUGAGACACGGUCCAGACUCCUACGGGAGGCAGCAGUGAGGAAUAUUGGUCAAUGGCCGGAAGGCUGAACCAGCCAAGUAGCGUGAAGGAUGAAGGUUCUAUGGAUUGUAAACUUCUUUUAUACGGGAAUAAAACCACCUACGUGUAGGUGCUUGUAUGUACCGUAUGAAUAAGCAUCGGCUAACUCCGUGCCAGCCGCCGCGGUAACAC
rnacentral:rRNA from 1 species